AAAGCGUAAUAGCUCACUGGUCGAGUCGGCCUGCGCGGAAGAUGUAACGGGGCUAAACCAUGCACCGAAGCUGCGGCAGCGACACUGUGUGUUGUUGGGUAGGGGAGCGUUCUGUAAGCCUGUGAAGGUGUGCUGUGAGGCAUGCUGGAGGUAUCAGAAGUGCGAAUGCUGACAUAAGUAACGAUAAAGCGGGUGAAAAGCCCGCUCGCCGGAAGACCAAGGGUUCCUGUCCAACGUUAAUCGGGGCAGGGUGAGUCGACCCCUAAGGCGAGGCCGAAAGGCGUAGUCGAUGGGAAACAGGUUAAUAUUCCUGUACUUGGUGUUACUGCGAAGGGGGGACGGAGAAGGCUAUGUUGGCCGGGCGACGGUUGUCCCGGUUUAAGCGUGUAGGCUGGUUUUCCAGGCAAAUCCGGAAAAUCAAGGCUGAGGCGUGAUGACGAGGCACUACGGUGCUGAAGCAACAAAUGCCCUGCUUCCAGGAAAAGCCUCUAAGCAUCAGGUAACAUCAAAUCGUACCCCAAACCGACACAGGUGGUCAGGUAGAGAAUACCAAGGCGCUUGAGAGAACUCGGGUGAAGGAACUAGGCAAAAUGGUGCCGUAACUUCGGGAGAAGGCACGCUGAUAUGUAGGUGAAGUCCCUCGCGGAUGGAGCUGAAAUCAGUCGAAGAUACCAGCUGGCUGCAACUGUUUAUUAAAAACACAGCACUGUGCAAACACGAAAGUGGACGUAUACGGUGUGACGCCUGCCCGGUGCCGGAAGGUUAAUUGAUGGGGUCAGCGCAAGCGAAGCUCUUGAUCGAAGCCCCGGUAAACGGCGGCCGUAACUAUAACGGUCCUAAGGUAGCGAAAUUCCUUGUCGGGUAAGUUCCGACCUGCACGAAUGGCGUAAUGAUGGCCAGGCUGUCUCCACCCGAGACUCAGUGAAAUUGAACUCGCUGUGAAGAUGCAGUGUACCCGCGGCAAGACGGAAAGACCCCGUGAACCUUUACUAUAGCUUGACACUGAACAUUGAGCCUUGAUGUGUAGGAUAGGUGGGAGGCUUUGAAGUGUGGACGCCAGUCUGCAUGGAGCCGACCUUGAAAUACCACCCUUUAAUGUUUGAUGUUCUAACGUGGACCCGUGAUCCGGGUUGCGGACAGUGUCUGGUGGGUAGUUUGACUGGGGCGGUCUCCUCCUAAAGAGUAACGGAGGAGCACGAAGGUUGGCUAAUCCUGGUCGGACAUCAGGAGGUUAGUGCAAUGGCAUAAGCCAGCUUGACUGCGAGCGUGACGGCGCGAGCAGGUGCGAAAGCAGGUCAUAGUGAUCCGGUGGUUCUGAAUGGAAGGGCCAUCGCUCAACGGAUAAAAGGUACUCCGGGGAUAACAGGCUGAUACCGCCCAAGAGUUCAUAUCGACGGCGGUGUUUGGCACCUCGAUGUCGGCUCAUCACAUCCUGGGGCUGAAGUAGGUCCCAAGGGUAUGGCUGUUCGCCAUUUAAAGUGGUACGCGAGCUGGGUUUAGAACGUCGUGAGACAGUUCGGUCCCUAUCUGCCGUGGGCGCUGGAGAACUGAGGGGGGCUGCUCCUAGUACGAGAGGACCGGAGUGGACGCAUCACUGGUGUUCGGGUUGUCAUGCCAAUGGCACUGCCCGGUAGCUAAAUGCGGAAGAGAUAAGUGCUGAAAGCAUCUAAGCACGAAACUUGCCCCGAGAUGAGUUCUCCCUGACCCUUUAAGGGUCCUGAAGGAACGUUGAAGACGACGACGUUGAUA
rnacentral:rRNA from 1 species